CUGCUUGAUAGUAACAGAUAAAAUUAUUUUUAUUUGGUUCCCAUAGGAUGUGCAAAUGGGUUCUGAAAUUUCUGAUGCAGAAGUGUCUGCUCACUCUUCUAGUUGGCGAACUCAAAACAGCUUUUUGUGCAGCUCACUGCUUUCAAGUUCAGGUUCACUUAUGAAAGGGAUUGUUCCUUUGGAUACAAGUGGCACCAAGGAAGAUUCUACUAAUGCUGCUGCUAGUGAAAUGAAGCUGCAAGCAGAAGGAGGAAAGCAAUAGAAUAUUUUAUGAAACCACACCAGUUUUCUCUGUGAUUUCUGGCACAUCUCCUGAUUCAGAGGGUCAAGAAAACAAAACAGGCACAUCCAUCUGUUCUGAUCUCAAUGGCCAUGACAGGAACAAGAAAGAAAUCAACAAAUAAACUUCUGCUCUCUACAAAGAGUGUUGAUGUC
rnacentral:lncRNA from 1 species